GUUUAUACCAUGUCUAAUGCAUUGCAUGCUGUUUCUUGUUCAGGUAGGUGAGGACUGAAGACUGUCAGGGUCUGAGUACCACAAUGGCUAAUCAGAUGUGAAGAUAAAUCAUGCUUGAACAUCUUUCACUAUGCAUUUCAGGUAAUUUAUACCUGCAAUCAAUCCUGUUAAUUUCUGAGCAUGGAAUGGAAAGAGCAGCAGCACCCCUGUGCUUGAGAGU
rnacentral:lncRNA from 14 species